UUCAGUUGAUCUACGUGGUGCAACAGUUUGUUCAGGGGCCGGGGGCGGGGGGAAGAGGAGUGGCUCUGAUGGUUACAGGAUAAUUCUAUUCUUUACAGUGGCACUGCGAUUUCUACUUGUGAACAUCAGCCAUGUAUAAGGUGUAAGCAAUAACUGGCCAGAGACAAAGCAGGUAGCAAUGACUCCGGCCGUCAGUUUUCUGUCAUCAGCACAAGAUACCAACAGGUAAGUGGAGUUUGAGUGUAUAACCGAGUGGCGAAUAUUAAGAGCACGGCGCAGCUGCUACUGAGUCUCGUCUUCGCUUGUACCAGGAAAGGAGAACCUUGCUUCCGGGCGUGACAUUGGAAGAACAUCCAUGUAUCCAUCGAUGCCGCGAACGGGAUUCAAACUAG